UACGGAGGGGGCUAGCGUUGUUCGGAAUUACUGGGCGUAAAGGGCGCGCAGGCGGCUGCUCAAGUCAGGCGUGAAAGGCCUGGGCUCAACCCGGGAAUUGCGCUUGAGACUGGGCUGGCUUGAGUGCGGGAGAGGAUGGUGGAAUUCCCAGUGUAGAGGUGAAAUGCGUAGAUAUCCGGAGGAACACCGGUGGCGAAGGCGGCUUCCUGGACCGAUACUGACGCUGAGGCGCGAAAGCUAGGGGAGCAAACGGG
rnacentral:rRNA from 1 species